rnacentral:rRNA from 1 species
GACGAACGCUGGCGGCGUGCUUAACACAUGCAAGUCGAACGCUGAAGCUCAGCUUUUGUUGGGUGGAUGAGUGGCGAACGGGUGAGUAACACGUGAGUAACCUGCCUCCUUCUUUGGGAUAACGCCCGGAAACGGGUGUUAAUAUUGGAUAUUCACUGGUCUUCGCCUGGGGGUAGGUGGAAAGGGUUCUUCUGGUGGAGGAUGGGCUCGCGGCCUAUCAGCUUGUUGGUGGGGUGAUGGACUACCAAGGCUUUGACGGGUAGCCGGGCUGAGCGGGUGACCGGGAACAUUGGAACUGAGAAACGGCCCAGAGUCGUACGAGAGGGGGCAGUGGGGAAAAUGGCGCAAUGGGGGAAAGCCUGAUGCAGCGACGCGGAGUGAGGGAUGGGGGCCUUCGAGUUGUGAACCUCUUUAGCUCAUGGUUAAGCCGAAACAAUGGUUGUGGUGAGGGUAGUGAGUAAAGAAGCGCCGGCUAACUACGUG